rfam:Myotis lucifugus cont2.43491, whole genome shotgun sequence.
CUCGGGUGGGGAGUCCUUCAGCCUGGAUUGCGAGAGGGCGCAAGCCAGUCUGAGGGACCCCACCGGUGCAUG